AUGCCAGGUUAUGGAGGUCGUGGUGUUCUCCCUGGAGUGGCCACAGGAUCUGGACUUGGGCCUCAGACUGGUGCUGGAGUGCUUGGCCAAGGGGGUGCUGGAUCCUUGGGCGUGAGCAAUGGUCGAGGACAACAACUGCCUGGGGUCUUUCAUGGUUAUCCUCUUAUAUCACCAAAAUCCGGGUCUGGCAAAUCAAAGAAUCUUGCCAAAGUUGCAGCUAAAUAUGGUGCUGGAGGAGCACUGGGUCAAGGAGGUGCUUUAGGUAUAGAUGCUGGAAGACGCCCUGGAGGGACAGGAAUCACACCUGGAUUUGGAGGUGGACAAGGAAUAGUACCUGGGUUUGGAGGAGCUGGAGCAGGAGGUGGACCGGGAACAGUACCUGGGUUUGGAGGAGCUGGGACGGGAGGUGGACCGGGAACAGUACCUGGGUUUGGAGGAGCUGGGACGGGAGGUGGACCGGGAACAGUACCUGGGUUUGGAGGAGCUGGGACGGGAGGUGGACCGGGAACAGUACCUGGGUUUGGAGGAGCUGGGACGGGAGGUGGACCGGGAACAGUACCUGGGUUUGGAGGAGCUGGGACGGGAGGUGGACCGGGAACAGUACCUGGGUUUGGAGGAGCUGGGACGGGAGGUGGACCGGGAACAGUACCUGGGUUUGGAGGAGCUGGGACAGGAGGUGGACCGGGAACAGUACCUGGGUUUGGAGGUGGACCUGGAACAGUACCUGGUUUAGGUAAUUUUAAGUAUAUCAUGUUCUCUAGGUGUAUUAAAGUGUCUUUUAAAUUAUUCUAUUGUGUAAAACAAUUCAAUAUUACUGAAGUAUUCUCAAAUAUUUUACAUUUGGUUAUUUUAGUGGGUUAUUUUAGUCUCAGUAACGGUUUAUGUA
rnacentral:lncRNA from 1 species